CACAAGAGCCUUUUUUUCCCCUACCUAUCUUCUGUGCUAACUCUAACCAAGUCAAUAUUGAAGGAGACCACCAUUUUUCUUCAAAUUUUUUAUUUUUUUUUAUUUUGUGUUGAAUGUUUGUCUCUAGACCAAACGGUUGGUCCAACAUUCGCUCAACCGAAUAGAAAGAAGAAGAAAAGAAAAAAAAGGAAAGAGCUCCAGAGACGGGGGAGAAAGAAAAACAGGUGGUCACGACACUAGGGCGCCAUCUUGGAUUCGAGUGCUUCACAGCAGCAACAGGCAAUGGACACAUUCCGAUUUGAUAGACCAUGCAUGUGAGACACACGAACACAGUUCUGAAUCCGAAUCGUUUCCCAAGGGUGAAGCGAACCCCCAGUUCGGAGACAAAAAGUAUCCACUGAUGUUAUCCCGUGGAGCUUUGGGAUAGGAAAAUAUCAGCCAACAGCUCGAGGCUCUUUCUGUUAAUGUAUAAAUGUAUACCUUUCGCUCCUUCGUCUACUUUCAAAACUUACCUUCAUUUCGUACGUUUUUCUUUUCUUUCGCUUCGUUUACCUGGGCACGUCAUUUCACCAUUCAGGUUUGCCUGCGGUUUCAUCACCCGACGUCCUCCGUCGGAUGACCCGAAUUCGAGAACAUUCUUCACGUGAUACCGUUAUUCUCCUAUAAAGAAAAAGAAACAGCUUGCAUCUAAUGAGUAUUUUAAGUUAGCAACAAGGCUUCUGCUUUCAAAAAAUAAAAUGCCAACAGUUAAGAAA